CUGUGCUGUGGAGUAAACUGUCUGCCACCCAGCCCUCACCCCUUCCCUGGACACUGUCGCACCCCUGGGUGCAGCUGCCAGCAUGGGGGUGUGGGGAGUGAAGGCACACCCAUGUGGAGUAGGAAAGAGCUCCAGGAUAAUAAUAGUAACCACCGCAGAGGCCUGUGGAGAGAGAUGAAAACUGCCUCCAACGCCCAGCCUGGGACCAGCACAUAGAAAGGCUGUUUACCUGCUCCGGGCAACGUGGCUCAGAACCAAGAGGAGUGAGCAAGCUGGAAUACAGGGCUGAACUGGAAAUGCCCACGGGCCCCUGACUCAGCGGAGCUGCCUGACCCCUUGAAGAAAGAAGAGCCUUCUAAGCAGCAAGCUCCAGACUCUGAGCUGAGUUUUGUAACAACAGAGAGACAGGACACAGCCACCCAAGAGGGUUGUAAGUAGAAAGGAACAACAAAGUCAGGAGAAAAUACACCCCCUCGAAUAGGACUCGUAUUUAGUUUGGCUGGGUCUCAGAAAAUUUCUUGGACGUUCUAAUAAUCUUAGCUAGGUUCACACAAGUUAAGUAUAAUAAUAGAUGUCCCUUUCAUCCUUUCUUCCAAAUGUUGUUAGAGAUACAUGUAUUAUCUGAGUGUGAGUAUAUACAGAGAAAGAUACAUAUGCCCACACACACAUACACACACAAAGACAGAGACAGAAAUAGUGAGAAAUUGGAAUAGAUUGAAACAGAGAUCCAUGGAGCCAUUCAGAACUUUGAAUGCUAGAAUUAUAGGUUUACUAAGUAGUCAAAAACAACGAAAUGAAUGGCACAGAAAAGUACCAAGCAAGAGUCACUCCUUUUGAUACAAAGGAGAAAUGUAGCCAUUAGUGUACAUUUGCAACUAAUAGUGUAGAUUGUCAUUACCCGGAAUAGAAGACCCAAAAGAACAGAAAUUCCUGUCUUCUUUGUUCCCUAACGAAUUCCACGUGUGUGGAGCAGAACCUGGUAGGGAGCAAGCACUCAGUAAACAUUUGUUGAAUGAAUCACUUUUCAACUUACAAUCAACCAGAGAUCAUAAAGAUACAUCGGUUCACAAUUCCACCCCAACUUGAAGGAAAAAACAGUCACUUGAGCUCUGGAAACUUCAAAGAGUGGAGGAACUAUUUCCAAAGCAGCUCCUAUGACAUUUCAGUUCAAUCCAGCAAACACGUGUUUGUGCUCAUUGAUGCCACACUGCGCCACCGGAGGUGCAGAAGAUGCUGCAAUGCUCAUGCUUGUCUUCACAGGGGACUCUCCGCGGAUCCAGCUGCUGAUUCCUACAUAUUUGGAGUAUGCGUGCUAAGUCUCUUCAAUCACGUCCGACUCUUUGUGACCCUAUGGACUGUAUGUAGCCCGCCAGACUCCUCUAUCCAUGGAAUUUUAUACUGGAGAAGAUCCUUCUCCAAGAGAUCUUCCCAACCCAGGGAUCAAACCAAAGUCUCUUACAUCUCCUGCAUCGACUGCUCAAGAGCUUUGAAGUUGACCAGAUGAUGAAUCCAGCCUGACUACUGGCUUAUAUGGACCAAGUUUCUUCCUUCUGCUGCCUGUGGCUCAAGUUUUCAUUACCCAUAUUAAGAAGUUUUUAGAAAAGCAGAAAUUUUGCAAGGUUGAUUUGUUCUUCAAAGAGCAGUGGGCUUAAAUUUGCUUACUUUCAUGCUUGCUGAAAUCCCAGUGUCCAGUAGAUUGUUAAUCACUUUCUGAAUACAUGAAACAGGCAAAAAAAAAAAAAACAAAAAACCCAGAUUUUAUGAUCUAUGUUGGUUAUCUAUUGUAUUGUGCCCCUGAAUACCAAAAGGGAAAAGACUUUGUAGUGGUGUUUUGUUACGCUUCUAGAGGAGGGGUCCAGUGGAGGGACGAUACAAUAGGAUCUAUUCUCCACUCAUAAAUCCCCACCCACCCAGGAGAGAAUAGAAUCCUAACAUUUGCAUUCUUUUAAGCCAGCCCUUGCCUAAAGUUCACCCCUUCCUGAAAUUCGACUCAACUGUUUAGCACAUGUCGACCCUGCAGUAAUGAAUUGGCACAAGCCUAAUUCUUAUGAUGAUUAAUGGAGCGCCUCGGAUGCAGCCUAUUAUUUCAUCCAAAGUUAAAACACUGAUUCAUCAUUAAUCACUAUAAGAAAUGGGCUCAGUGAUUCAUAAUUCUAAGCCAGCCCAUUUCCUCAAGGAUCCCGUUUGCCUUUUGUUAUUCCAGAAGUGGUAUAGUUCACUGCCUUGUGCUACCCACAUUCUGACGUGCACAUUUUCUGAUUAAUUCUCUUAAAAAAAAGUCACGUACUCCAAGUGUUUCACUUAUAACCCCAAAGCCUCUGAAAAAUCAUACUUCUUUCAGAUACCAAUCUUUUUCUGGAUCCAGCUGCCCUCGGAUUACCCAAGUUAAAACAAGUCAAUAAUUAGACUGAAUGAAUUAAUCACACACAAGUCAAUAAUCCUCACGGCUAUCUUUGGUCCUCAGCAAAGAGUCACAUUUGGGGCGGGGCAUUUGGAUUGAAACGCACUCCCCGUGGUUACUUCUUCAUUGCUACUGCUCACCUGCAACCAGAUAGAUGGUCGUCAGUGGCCAAGGAGGAGCAACAACACAAACCAGGCUUCCCCUGCUGGUCCUGGCCCAGAGUCACUGACAAGGACCGCAUCAUUGCUUCCUACAUGGAAACCUGCAUUGCAUCAUUUGCCAUCUUGGUAUUAUUUUCUUUAAACCUGCCCAUCUUGCAUAAGGACUUGAUGCUUUUCUGCUUUACACAAAUGAAAUGAAAACCUUUACUAUGCUAGAGCACCAUUGCUUGCCUUUCCUGGUGGUGCUCAGGCCAUGCACAAAAAAGCAACAGCUUCAAGGACUUCCCUGGCAGUCCAGUGGUUAAGACUUUGCCUUCCAAUGCAGUGCCAGUUUGAUCCCUGGUUGGGGAACUAAGAUCCCACAUGCUACAGAGGAUGGACAAAAUGUAAAUAAAUACAAUGUAAAUCGACUAAAAAAAAUUAAAACACAACAACUUCACUGCUGGCAUGACUGCAUACACAGUGCUUGGAGAGGCUUUAGUUCCAGAACCAACUCUUAGCUUUUCUGUUCUUUUCCUUCUUCUCCUCCUUCACCUACCUCCCUCCUAUUUCUCUCCCUCUACUCUUCUUUCUUUUCCCUCUCAAUUUCCCCUUUUCCCCAUUUUUCCUAAGAUAUUUCUCCUGAGGGACCUGCUUACCCCAGAUGACCACUUACCCUAGUAAUGGCAUUUGGGAAUUAAAGAGCUUGGGAGAGGCAUGGAGCUUGUCACUAUGAUCCAUGAUAUCCUCUGAAGAAGUUAUAAUGUAUAGCCAAGUCAAUUAGGCAAGAAUCUUAAAUAACAGGCAUCCAACUGGAAAGGUGGAAGGAAACCACCUCUAUUUGCAGAUGACACAACCUAAUGUAUAGAAUAUCCUAAGGAAUACACCAAACAACUAUUAGAACUAGUGAACAAGUUCAGUGAGGUUGUCGUAUGCAAGAAAAAUAUACAAAAGCUUAGUGUAUUUCUAUAUAGUGGUAAUGAGAAAAAUACAAAAGAAAUUAAGAAAACAGUUCUGUUUACAAUAGCAUCAACAAAAAUAUAAAUAAAUACUUAGAAAUAAAUUUAACAAAAUAGUGUAAAACUUAUACCCUGAAAUCUAGAAGUCAUUGUUGACAGGAGUUAAAGAAGAACUAAAUAAGAUUCCUGGUGGCUCAGACAGUAAAACAUCUGCCCACAAUGCGGGAGAUCUGGGAUCGAUCCCCGGGUCGGGAAGAUCCCCUGGAGAAGAAAAUGGAAACCCACUUCAGUACUCUUGCCUAGAAAAUUCCAUGGAUGGAGGAGUCUGGUGGGCUACAGUCCAUGGGGAAGAAGAACUAAAUGAAUGGGAAGGCAUCUCAUGUUCAUGGAUUGGAAGAGUUAAGGCUAUUGUUAAGCUGAUAAUACUCCCCAAAUUGAUCCAUAGAUGUGAUGCUAUCACUAUCAAAACCCCAAAUGGUUUCUUUACAGAAAUUGACAAGAAUGGGGUGAAAAAAUAGAACCCACAGAAUGUGAUAAAAUUUUUUGUAAAUAACAUAUUUGGUAAAGGAUAUGUAUUGAAAAAAAUACAUAAAGAAUUGUUACAACUCAUUAAUGAAAAGGCAACCCAUUUUUUUUAAAGAGGACAAAGGAGUCACAUAGACAUUUUUCCAAAGAAGAUAUACAAAUGAAUAAUAAGCUCAUGAAGAGAUGAUCCACAUCAGUAUCGGGGAAAUACAAAGAGGUACCACUUUACCCCACUAGGAAGAUGUGCUGGUGAAGUGUUGGUGAAGAUGUGUAGAAGUUGGAAACCUCAUACUUUACUGGGUGGAAAGGAAAAUGAUGCAACCACAUUGGAAGGCAAUCUGGCCAUUCCUCAAAUGUUUAAACCUAUGGGCACAUUACCAUAGGACCCAGCAAUUACAUCCCUUCAGUAUACAUUGAAGAGAAAGAUAAACACAUGUGCACACAAAUAUCUGUUCACAAAUGUUCAUAGAAGCAUCAUUCAUAAUAGCCAAAACAUAUAAACAACCUACAUGUUUAUCAACUGAUGAAUGGAUAAAUAAAAUGUGGCUUAUACAGGCAAAAAAUAUUAUUAUACACACACACACACACACACAGAUGAAGUACAGAUACAAGCUACAACAUGGAUUAACCUUGAAAACAUUACCCUAAGUUAAAGAACACACUCAAAAGGUCCACAUGUCUGUAUCAAAUGUUCACAAUUGGCAAAUCCAUAGAGUUUAGUUUGCUAGUUCACCAGGGCUGGAGGAGGGGGUAGCUUAUGGGAGUUUGGGAUUGAUGGCUAAGGAACACAAGGUUUCUCCUGGGAGUAAUGAAAAUGUUCUGAAAUUGAUUGUGGUAAUGGAUGUACAACUCUGUGAAUGCACUAAAACACCAUUGAUUAUACACUUAAAUGGGUGAAUUCUCUAUUAUAUGAACUAUAUCUCAAGCUGAUUUUGAAAAAAAAAAAGAAGAAGAAGAAAGAAACAAUUUAAAAGAAAUAAGUCAUAGCUUGAAAAUCAAAGUUUUAUGGAAAAGACAAAGCAAAUUCUCCAGAAUACCAAAAAUUUUAGGAUACUAAUUUUAAGUUCAGGUAUAAUUUCUAAUGUUGGGAUUUAUUCCCAAGUUUAGACCAGUCAUUUGCUUUACUUGUAUCAUUUUUGUUUAUGUCAUAAUAAUUAGUGAUUAAUAAGUUAAGUGAAAGUAGCUCAGUCGUGUCCAACUCUUUCCUACCCCGUGGACUAUAUAUAGUCCAGGGAAUUCUCCAGGCCAGAAUACUAGAGUAGGUAGGCUUUCCCUUCUCCAGGGGAUCUUCCCAACCCAGGGAUCAAACCCAGGUCUCCCGCAUUACAGGAGCUCUUUACCAACUGAGCUAUGAGGGAAGCCAAAAUAACAAUUAAUCAGAUUCAAUACUUCAACAGGUCACUGUGAGAGUCCUGCUCAUCAUCAGUGGUAGCCGUUGUCAUGGUCCUUAGGUUCUGCUGCUGCUGCUGCCAAGCCGCUUCAGUCGUGUCCGACCCUGUGCGACCCCAUAGACGGCAGCCUAUCAGGCUCCUCCGUCCAUGGGAUUUUCCAGGCAAGAGUACUGGAGUGGGUUGCCAUUUCCUUCUCCACCUUAGGUUCUUGCCCUGUCUAAUGAAAAUAUUCAAAAUUCUAUCCUUUCAGUUAAAUUCUGGAGCUGAGGAAACACUUUAGAAGAGACUCUUUGGUCAGGACUCAAAGAGAUUUGUGCUUUGUCAUCCAGGAAUCUGCAGCAGGAUUCAAUGAGAUUGAGAGUGAAAAGCGGGUGGAAGAGGGUGUCUCCAGUAUCUCAGGCUUACCCUUCCCAUUGCUCUGAGCAAAACGGGAGGCUUAUGAGUAAUUAAUAGCAUUCAAUCCACCAAACAUUGUGUUUUUGAAAAGACAGCAUGUAUUGUCUCUUUAAAAAAGUCCUUUAACUCAUGGUGACAGAGACUGCUACAUGCCCCUUAAUACCCACAUUUCUGUUC